rnacentral:rRNA from 1 species
UAUUGCCCUAGUAACGGCGAGUGAAGCGGCAAAAGCUCAAAUUUGAAAUCUGGCUUCGGCCCGAGUUGUAAUUUGUAGAGGAUGUUUCGGGCACCGCCCCGGCGUAAGUCCCUUGGAACAGGGCGUCAUAGAGGGUGAGAAUCCCGUCUGGCGUCGUGGUAGGGCCCAUGUGAAACUCCUUCGACGAGUCGAGUUGUUUGGGAAUGCAGCUCAAAAUGGGUGGUAAAUUUCAUCUAAAGCUAAAUACUGGCCAGAGACCGAUAGCGCACAAGUAGAGUGAUCGAAAGAUGAAAAGCACUUUGAAAAGAGAGUUAAACAGUAUGUGAAAUUGUUGAAAGGGAAGCGCUUACAACCAGACUUGAGCCCGUCGGUUCCCCCUCGCUUCUGCGUGGGCUACUCCGGCGGGUCCAGGCCAACAUCGGUUCGGGUGGCUGGUCAAAGGCCCCGGGAAUGUACCUCACCUUCGGGUUAGGCUUAUAGCCCGGGGUGUCAUGCGGCCUACCUGGACCGAGGAACGCGCUUCGGCUCGGAUGUUGGCGUAAUGGUUGUCAGCGACCCGUCUUGAAACACGGACCAAGGAGUCGAAGAGCUAUGCGAGUGUUUGGGUGUCAAACCCGUACGCGUAAUGAAAGUGAACGGAGGUAGGAAGCUUCGGCUGCACUAUCGACCGAUCCUGAUGUUCUCGGAUGGAUUUGAGUAAGAGCAUAACUCUCCGGACCCGAAAGAUGGUGAACUAUGCCUGAAUAGGGUGAAGCCAGAGGAAACUCUGGUGGAGGCUCGCAGCGGUUCUGACGUGCAAAUCGAUCGUCAAAUUUGGGUAUAGGGGCGAAAGACUAAUCGAACCAGUAGCUGGUUCCUGCCGAAGUUUCCCUCAGGAUAGCAGUAACGUUUUCAGUUUUAUGAGGUAAAGCGAAUGAUUAGAGGCCUUGGGGUUGAAACAACCUUAACCUAUUCUCAACUUUAAAUAUGUAAGAGUCCUUGUUACUUAGUUGACGUGGACAUUUGAAUGUAUCGUUACUAGUGG